UUUUCGUAGAAGGGGUGGUUUGUGAGAGUGCCUGAGAGUAUACCCUUAUAACUUGAUCCGGGUAAUUCCGGCGAAAGGAGAGAAGCAACAAAGGCU
rnacentral:ncRNA from 1 species